UACGGGGGGUGCAAGCGUUAUCCGGAUUCACUGGGUUUAAAGGGUGCGUAGGUGGGCAGGUAAGUCAGUGGUGAAAUCUCCGGGCUUAACCCGGAAACUGCCGUUGAUACUAUCUGUCUUGAAUAUAGUGGAGGUGAGCGGAAUAUGUCAUGUAGCGGUGAAAUGCUUAGAUAUGACAUAGAACAUCGAUUGCGAAGGCAGCUCGCUACGCUAUUAUUGACACUGAGGCACGAAAGCGUGGGGAUCAAACAGG
rnacentral:rRNA from 1 species